GACGAACGCUGGCGGCGUGCCUAAUACAUACAAGUUGAGCGCUGAAGGUUGGUACUUGUACCAACUGGAUGAGCAGCGAACGGGUGAGUAACGCGUGGGGAAUCUGCCUUUGAGCGGGGGACAACAUUUGGAAACGAAUGCUAAUACCGCAUAAAAACUUUAAACACAAGUUUUAAGUUUGAAAGAUGCAAUUGCAUCACUCAAAGAUGAUCCCGCGUUGUAUUAGCUAGUUGGUGAGGUAAAGGCUCACCAAGGCGAUGAUACAUAGCCGACCUGAGAGGGUGAUCGGCCACAUUGGGACUGAGACACGGCCCAAACUCCUACGGGAGGCAGCAGUAGGGAAUCUUCGGCAAUGGACGAAAGUCUGACCGAGCAACGCCGCGUGAGUGAAGAAGGUUUUCGGAUCGUAAAACUCUGUUGGUAGAGAAGAACGUUGGUGAGAGUGGAAAGCUCAUCAAGUGACGGUAACUACCCAGAAAGGGACGGCUAACUACGUG
rnacentral:rRNA from 1 species